rnacentral:rRNA from 1 species
UACGUAGGGUGCAAGCGUUGUCCGGAAUUAUUGGGCGUAAAGAGCUCGUAGGCGGUUUGUCGCGUCGAACGUGAAAUCCCCGGGCUCAACCCGGGAACUGCGUCCGAUACUGGCAGGCUUGAAUCCGGGAGAGGGAUGCGGAAUUCCAGGUGUAGCGGUGAAAUGCGUAGAUAUCUGGAGGAACACCGGUGGCGAAGGCGGCAUCCUGGACCGGUAUUGACGCUGAGGCGCGAAAGCCAGGGGAGCAAACGGG